GUAAAUAAAGUUAUUAAGAAAAAAAACAAAAACGGUUCUCGUCUGAUCACCGAAGUUAAGCCUGGUCGGGCGAAGUUAGUACUUGGAUGGGUGACCGCCUGGGAAUACUUCGUGUUGUAGACU
rnacentral:rRNA from 1 species